GAUGAACGCUGGCGGCGUGCCUAAUACAUGCAAGUCGAGCGAACAGAUAAGGAGCUUGCUCCUUUGACGUUAGCGGCUGACGGGUGAGUAACACGUGGAUAACCUACCUAUAAUUCUGGGAUAACUUCGGGAAACCGGAUCUAAUACCGCAUAACAUAUUGAACCGCAUGGUUCAAUAGUGAAACGCGGCUUUCCUGUCACUUAUAGAUGGUUCCGCGGCGUAUUAGCUAGUUGGUAAGGUAACGGCUUACCAAGGCAACGAUACGUAGCCGACCUGAGAGGGUGAUCAGCCACACUGGAACUGAGACACGGUCCAGACUCCUACGGGAGGCAGCAGUAGGGAAUAUUCGGCAAUGGGCGAAAGCCUGACGGAGCAAAGCCGCGUGAGUGAUGAAGGUCUUCGGAUCGUAAAGCUCUGUUAUCAGGGAAGAACAAAUGUGUAAGAAAAUGUGGACAUCUUGACGGUACCUGAUGAGAAAGCAACGGCUAACUACGUG
rnacentral:rRNA from 1 species